AUUGAACGCUGGCGGAAUGCUUUACACAUGCAAGUCGAACGGCAGCACGGGGGCAACCCUGGUGGCGAGUGGCGAACGGGUGAGUAAUACAUCGGAACGUGCCCAGUCGUGGGGGAUAACGUAGCGAAAGCUACGCUAAUACCGCAUACGAACUCUGGUUGAAAGCGGGGGAUCGCAAGACCUCGCGCGAUUGGAGCGGCCGAUGGCAGAUUAGGUAGUUGGUGGGGUAAAGGCCUACCAAGCCGACGAUCUGUAGCUGGUCUGAGAGGACGACCAGCCACACUGGGACUGAGACACGGCCCAGACUCCUACGGGAGGCAGCAGUGGGGAAUUUUGGACAAUGGACGCAAGUCUGAUCCAGCCAUUCCGCGUGCAGGAUGAAGGCCCUCGGGUUGUAAACUGCUUUUGGACGGAACGAAAAGCCGCUCUCUAAUACAGGGCGGUCAUGACGGUACCGUCAGAAUAAGCACCGGCUAACUAC
rnacentral:rRNA from 1 species